rnacentral:piRNA from 1 species
UCCAGGAACACAGACAAGUGAAGGGCAAA